ensembl:lncRNA
CUGUUUCUAGGUGUAAGAAAAUGAAUUACUUCAUGAAUUGUGUGUUAGUAGUCAAGAAAAACUGUAAGUAAUCAUGAAUGUUAAAAAGCUUUCUGUGUACCAGAUAAUUAAAAGUACAUUUUAUUUAUGAUUUUAAAUUUAUGAAACAAGUUAGACUUACCACAGUUACCACAUGGGAGGCCAAUGCAAUGAAUUCAAGGGAUGAGUGGUUGUUAUAACUUUCACUGAAAGUUUCAUUUAGACUGUAUCUUAAGUGUAUGCUUCCCUCGUCAAGGGUAGGAGGAUCAGUAUUUGUGCCCUCUGUUGUUGGUGCUACAGUGGUGAACACAUAUGAGGUAUGAGCCUCUGUUACUGGCUUUACUGACGUUAGUGUUGUUGUUGUUGUCGACAUUGUUGUAUAUACAGUUGUAGAAUUGAAUACAGUAGAUGAACCCUUAGCUAGAGUAGUUUUGGUUGAUUCUGGUUUAUUUCUAACAGUUGCUGCUGCUGUUGUCCUUGAUGCAAUUGCUGGCAAUGCUGAUGUCAAUGGAACAAAGGUUGAAGCUUUUGGUGCAGUAGCAGACUUUACUAAGCUUGUUGUUGAUGUUGUAAUUGUAUCUACUGCCACAGAAUGUAUCACAGUAGAUGAAACCUGAGCUAUUGUAGUCUUGGUUGAUUCUGGUUCAUUGCUAAUGGUUGCUGCUGUGGUCGUGCCCGAUGCAGUUGCUGGCAAUGCUGAUGUCACUGGUAAAAAUGUAGAAGCUUUGGGUGUAGUAGCCGACUCUACUAAGCCUGUUGUUGUUGUCACUGUAUUUUCUGUUGUAGUUAUCCUGAUUGUUUUCUGUUCAUUGCUAACAGUUGCUGAUGUGGUUUUGUCCAGUGCAGUUGCAUGCAAAGCUGAUGUUACUGGUGCAAAUGUAGAAGUUCUUGCUGUAGUAGCAGACACUAUUCGGCCUGUUGUUGUUGUCACUGUAUUUCCAGUUGUAGCUAUCCUGAUUGUUUCCGGUUCAUUGCUAACAGUUGCUGAUGUGGUUGUGCCCAAUGCAGUUGCUGGCAAUGCUGAUGUCACCGGUGCAAAUGUAGAAGCUUUGGGUGUAGUAGCAGACUCUACUAGAACUGUUGUUGUUGUCACUGUAUUUUCUGUUGUAGUUAUACUGAUUGUUUCCGGUACAUUGCUAAUAGUUGCUGAUGUGGUUGUGCCCAAUGCAGUUGCAUGUAAAGCAGAUGUCACUGGUACAAACGUAGAAGCUUUAGUUGUAGUAGUAGACUCUACUAGGCCUGUUGUCAUUGUCAAUGUAUCUUCUGUGGUAGCUAUCCUGAUUGUUUCCGGUUCAUUGCUAACAGUUGCUGAUGUGGUUGUGCCCAAUGCAGUUGCCGGCAAAGCUGAUGUUACUGGUGCAAAUGUAGAAUUUUUUGCUGUAGAAGCAGACACUUUUUGGCCUGUUGAUGUUGUCACUGUAUUUUCUGUUGUAGUUAUGCUGACUGUUUCCGGUACAUUGCUAACAGUUGCUGAUGUGGUUGUGCCCAAUGCAGUUGCAUGUAAAGCAGACGUCACAGGUACAAAUGUAGAAGCUUUAGGUGUAGAAGCAGACUCUACUAGGCCUGUUGUCAUUGUCACUGUAUCUUCUGUUGUAGUUAUCCUGAUUGUUUCUGGCUCAUUGCUAACAGUUGCUGAUGUGGUUAUGCCCAAUGCAGUUGCUGGCAAUGCUGAUGUCACCGGUACCAAGGUAGAAGCUUUGGGUGUAGUAGCAGACUCUACUAGGCCUGUUGUUGUUGACACUGUAUUUUCUGUUGCAGUUAUCCUGAUUGUUUCCGGUUCAUUGUUAACAAUUGCUGAUGUGGCUGUGCCCAAUGCAGUUGCUGGCAAGGCUGAUGUCACUUGUAGAAAUGUAGAAGCUUUGGGUGUAGUAGCCGACUCUACUAGGCCUGUUGUUGUUGUCUCUGUAUUUUCUGUUGUAGUUAUACUGAUUGUUUCCGGUACAUUACUAACAGUUGCUGAUGUGGUUGUGCCCAAUGCAGUUGCAUGUAAAGCAGAUGUCACUGGUACAAAUGUAGAAGCUUUGGGUGUACUAGCAGACUGUACUACACCUGUUGUUGUCACUGUAUCUUCUGUUGUAGCUAUCCUGAUUGUUUCCUGUUUAUUGCUAAGAGUUGCUGAUGUGGUUGUACUCAAUGCAGUUGCUGGCAAAGCUGAUGUCACUGGUAAAAAUGUAGAAGCUUUGGGUCUAGUAGCAGACUCUACUAGACCUGUUGUUGUUGUCACUGAAUCAUCUGUUGUAGUUAUCCUUAUUGUUUCUGGCUCAUUGCUAACAGUUGCUGAUGUGGUUGUGCCCAAUGCAGUUGCUGGCAAUGCUGAUGUCACUUGUAGAAAUGUAGAAGCUUUGGGUGUAGUAGCCGACUCUACUAGGCCUGUUGUUGUUGUCUCUGUAUUUUCUGUUGUAGUUAUACUGAUUGUUUCCGGUACAUUACUAACAGUUGCU